rnacentral:sRNA from 1 species
UAGCUACUACCCCGGUAGCGCCAACGAC